rnacentral:rRNA from 1 species
GAUGAACGCUAGCGGCAGGCUUAAUACAUGCAAGUCGAGGGGUAGCAAGAUUGUAGCAAUACAAUUGUUGACGACCGGCAAACGGGUGCGGAACACGUACACAACCUUCCUACAAGUGGGGAAUAGCCCAGAGAAAUUUGGAUUAAUACCCCGUAACAUAGCGAUGUGGCAUCACAUUGCUAUUAUAGCUUCGGCGCUUGUUGAUGGGUGUGCGGCUGAUUAGAUAGUUGGCGGGGUAACGGCCCACCAAGUCUACGAUCAGUAGCUGAUGUGAGAGCAUGAUCAGCCACACGGGCACUGAGACACGGGCCCGACUCCUACGGGAGGCAGCAGUAAGGAAUAUUGGUCAAUGGGCGCAAGCCUGAACCAGCCAUCCUGCGUGCAGGAAGAAGGCCCUAUGGGUUGUAAACUGCUUUUGUCAGGGAUAAACCUGUGGAUUUAUCCGCAGCUGAAGGUACCUGAAGAAUAAGCACCGG